UUAAAGUUUGAUUCUUGCUUUAAAGUUUGUUGUUUCAUUAAUUUACAUGUAAGAUUAUUCGUGUGUUAAUAAUCUAAAUGAAUUUAAUUAUUAUUCGCAGUAAUUAAUUCUAUAAAUAUUUAUUUAAGUAUGACAAUGUUAAUUGAUAAAAUGUUUUGAUAAAUUUUGUGCCAGCAAUCGCGGUUAAACAAUUAUUACAAAUUAACUUUAUUUUCUUUUAGUUAUUUAUAAUUAUUAAAUUUUAAUUUAAAUUUAAUUAAGUGAAAUUUUUAUAUUUUAUAUAUUUUUAUUUUUUUAUAAUUCUAAGAAAUUCUUUAUUAAACUAGGAUUAGAUACCCUACUAUUUUGAACUUAAAAUAUUAAAGUUGAAUAUUAAUAGAUAUGAUCUUUAAAUUUAAAGAAUUUGGCGGUAAUUAAGUCUUUUUAGAGGAACCUGUUCUUUAAUUGAUAAUCCACGAUAAACCUUACUUUACUUUUAUUUGUAUAUCUCUGUCAUUGAAUGUAUUAUUAGGUUAUUUUCUUUUAUCUUUAUAAAGAAAAAUGUUAGGUCAAGGUGCAGUUUAUAGUAAAGUAGAAAUGGGUUACUAUAUAUUUAUUUGGAUUUAACCUUGAAAUAUUUAGUUUAAUAAAAUUGGAUUUAAAAGUAAUUUUAAUUAGUUUAAUUAUUUUGAUUUUAGCUCUUAAUUAUGUACACAUCGCCCGUCACUCCCAUUAAUUUGGGAUAAGUCGUAACAAAGUAGUUUUACCGGAAGGUGAAUCUAGAAAGAU
rnacentral:ncRNA from 1 species